GAAACCGCCAGAACCGCUGUUCCGGUCCGGUUCCGGUUCCGAACCGGGCCACUUCCAGCCUUAUUUGGUAGACUCCAAAAAUUAACUCUCCAAUUUAUAUCCACUAUUCAUCCUUUUUUGUGUAUUGAUACUUUUAAUUUAAGUUUGUAUUUUUUUUAUAUAAUAGUUUUAAUGACAUUUAAGUCAUUUUUAUAGCAACGAAAAUAAGUGUUUAUUCCGCACUUUUUUACUUAACACACCAAAAUUUUAUUUAUCUGCUUCAGCAUUUUCAUCCGAUCACAUGGUAAUUGAUUAUUCUUAAAAAUCAAAUUCAGCACUUUAGGAUGAUUUUCAGUUAAUUUCAGCAAUUAACUGAUAAUUAUCAACUACUUUAAAUUAUUAUCUACUUAGCCAAACGGGCAAAGAAAAACGCAUUCCAAUCAUUCCCACGGUAUAUUUUUAAAAGUUCCAACUAUGUAUAGUUGUAAAAAAAAGAAACUCGGAGCUGAUAAAUAUUUGAGUCCCUGACUUGAGCCUAGUAGCAGCGGUGGAUCUAGAACACAAUCUAUGAAUUCACGAGAACUCAAUAUCUUUUAUUCAAAUCUAUAUGUGUAUUAAAUAUUUUAUUAAAAUAUUUAUCAAUAUUUCAUUUUAAACCGAUUUAUUAUUGUAUAUUAACUUGAGCCGCUGUAAAAAAUCAUAAACUUCAAAUUCUUGAUGCGCCUCACCUUGCUGGUGGUAAGAAAGAGCUACCUCGAGAGUAAGUGUGGUUGCAGUUGUGGAGAUACAACUACUUAUCCAUUUACUUGAAUGCUUCAAUCCACGAAAAACACGAGCAAAAAUUCGCCUCUUGAUUCUUCCUCUAACUGAUGGAACCCUCAGUACAGUCGAUUUCGUCUUUCUUCUUGAGUAUGAGAUUUUGAUUCUUUGGUUGCCAACAUACUUAAAUAUUUAGGGUUUUGGCGUGAUUUUGGUGUGCAUGAGAGAAAUGGGCAGU
rnacentral:lncRNA from 1 species